rnacentral:rRNA from 1 species
UACAGAGGUCUCGAGCGUUAGGCGGAAUCACUGGGCUUAAAGCGUGUGUAGGCGGAUUGGUAAGUACCUUGUGAAAUCCCACGGCUUAACCGUGGAACUGCUUGGUAUACUGCCUGUCUUGAGCCAGCUAGGGGGCGACCGGGAACAAAUGGGUGGAGCGGUGAAAUGCGUAGAUAUCGUUUUGGAACGCCCAAUGGUGAAAACAGGUUGCUGGGGAGUGCGCUGACGCUGAGGUGCGAA